GUGCUGCUUGACCUUGUUUUCUGCUGUCUUGUCUGCCUUGUGGUGGUGGUCGUCGUCCCCGAAGACCUCCUCGACGGAGUAGGCGUGCGACCAUGGGUGGAGGAAGCCCUUGCCCUUGACCUCCUUGGCCCACUUGAGCUUGGUGGUGCCGGCGGCGGAGGCCUUGGACUCCCACUUCCACUUGCGGUCGAAGCCAUCGUCGUUGGGGGUGUCGAUCUGGGCCUCCCACUUGAAGGUCCGGUCGCCGUCGGGCUUGUCGUGGGUGGUCCACUUGAUCUUCCUGCCGGCGGAUUCGGCCUCGUAGGUGUACUUGCUGCGUGGGGCGGCGAGCUCAAGCGCGGAGACGCGGUGGGCGAGGGAGUGGUGGAGAAGGAAGGGAUCGCGGAGGGCGGGGCAGGAGGUGGUUACAGGUGGGGUCGGGGUUGGGAGGAAGAGGUCAAGGUCGAGGUCGAGGUCGAGAUGGUGGUGGAAGGCGGCGUCGAGGUCGUAGGAGGAGGUGAAGCCGAGUGGGCAAGACGAUGAAGGAGGAGAGGUGAAACCGAGUGGGCAUGAGGAGGAGGGAGGGAAGAAAAAUGGGUGGGUGUCGUCGAGGAGGAAGGAGGAGGAGGAGGUUGGGAAGGUGGGGAAGAAAGGGUGGUCGUCGGCGGCGAGGAAGCGGAAGAGGUGGUGGCUGCCCCCCAUGGCUGAUGGCAGUGUGGACUGUGAAUGAGGAGGAGCGCAACUAUCGCCGCAUCUCCAUCGAUCGAUCGAUCGUGUGAAGCUGAAGCAUGGAAGGGAGUGGGGAGGGCCCACAUGUCUGUCUGCCACGUGUAGCACGUAAUCAGUCAAUGGUCGUUUCCAACCAGCACGCCACGAGCACUCACGCAGAGUACUGAUCCCUCCGUUCUAAAAUAAGUACUGUUUUAGCUUUAUUCAUGUUUAACGUUUCACCGUUCGUCUUAUUUGAAAAAAGUUUAUGAUUAGUAUUUUUGUUGUUAUUAGAUGAUAAAAUAUAAAUAGUACUUUAUGUAUGACUAAUUUUUUUAAUAUUUUUUAAAUAAGACGGAUGGUUAAACUGCU
rnacentral:sRNA from 1 species